GGUUCUGUAGUGUAGUGGUCAUCACUCCGGAUUCUGAGAAUACUUCUUCUUAGAGUCUACUAUUCCGGCAACCCCGGUUCGAGUCCGGGCAGGACCU